CGGCUCCCGGCCUGCGGCAGGAGAGGCCAGGCAGCGCGGCCAGGGACCGAUUCCGUGAAGGCUCAAGGAAGACAGGCGCAGGGCUUGCCUCCUCCGCCUCGAUCCUGUCCCUUCCUCUCCCAGGUCGCCGCUGCAGCUGAACCCAGUAGCCCCUCUUAGCGCCCCGCGUGGGCCCCGCGGCUCCAGGCUCUGCUUUGGCACCUUCCGCUCCGUCUGGCAUGGCUGCUUGGCCCGCCGGCCCCAGGCCCUCGGUGGCAUGGCUGCACGCUCCCGCUGCUAGUAGGAGCUGUUUAGGGGAGGAGUUUGGGGUCUCCACAUGAUGCCUAGAGAAUGCUGCAGUCUGCACAUUAGACGCUUUUUAGAAGUUUUGAAAUUACCUUGAUUUUUUUAAUUGUUAUGAAAAACAAAUCAUUUCUUGACUCUCCCAUGCUCUGUUACUGGGAGAGUAUGCCCCCCCCCACUCUGAUGUAUAGACCAUUCUCCCUACACCAGCUGAACAGAUGUCAAAAUUAAUAAAGAAAUUGACUCAUGACACAGGGCUC
rnacentral:lncRNA from 1 species